rnacentral:rRNA from 1 species
AGGGUUCGAUUCUGGCUCAGGACGAACGCUGGCGGCGUGCUUAACACAUGCAAGUCGAACGGACUUUCCAGGACGGAAUCCUUCGGGAGGAAGACCUGGCGAGUUAGUGGCGGACGGGUGAGUAACGCGUGGAUAAUCUGCCCAAUAGACCGGGACAACAGUUGGAAACGACUGCUAAUACCGGAUAAAGUAGCUUUGCGGCAUCGCAGAGUUACCAAAGGAGGCCUCUUAACAAUGCUCCCGCUGUUGGAUGAGUCCGCGUACGAUUAGCUAGUUGGUGGGGUAAUGGCCUACCAAGGCGACGAUCGUUAGCCGACCUGAGAGGGUGGCCGGCCACACUGGGACUGAGACACGGCCCAG